rnacentral:lncRNA from 1 species
CUCAUGAUGCAUUUUUAUAAUAAUAUUGAUGCCAUAUGAGGUAGUUUACCCUGGAAAGUCCACAAAAUCCUCUAAAGUAGCUGAAUUGUCUUUGUGAUUAUCUGCAAAAUUUCAGCUAUUCAGGCUUUUAUUUCUAAAAGAUGACUUAUUCUAAUUCUAACCCAACAUUCUGGAACACCUCUCCAUUAUGAAGCAGGCCCAAAGGUGGGAGUGGAGACAGCCUUUUAUUCACAUUCCAUACCCUCAAAUUCCAGCGAUGAGGGUAGGAUAUUAAGGCCCUUAUGCAUUAAGGAUCAACACAAUGGGGUAAUGGGGAUCCUGGACACUUGCUUCCCACCAGUGAAUAUUAAAUGAAGGUCCAGGAGUCUCUACAGUUACAGGAAUAAGAAGGAAACUUGAGCAGCUCAAGAGUGGUGAAAACAGUGAGAUGCUCUGGGGACAGUUCCUUGAAAAUUUCAUCUGACUCCCAGAGGUGUGUGAACGUACAAGACCUGAAGCCAGAUUCUGGAGAAAGACAACAUUUUCCUCCUUGUAUCAAGAACUCCAACUUCACCAACAGAGAACCCCUCAUAAAAGUACUCAGAAGGACAACUUGUAGUAGAAAAUAUUCUAGAGUUCUUUCCAAAGGGUUUGUAUAUUUUCUUGAAUAUAUAGUAAAUGGUAUUUCAACAAAAUUAAAUUUAGAUAAUAUAAAUAUACUAAAAACUCAUAUUACUUAACUCAAUUAGCAAGCCAUUGCUUGUCUCCAUGUGACAGCGUGUAUCUUUAGAUCUUUCUG